UACGGGGGGAGCAAGCGUUGUUCGGAUUUACUGGGCGUAAAGGGCGCGUAGGCGGCCUCCGCAAGUCAGUUGUGAAAUCUCCGAGCUUAACUCGGAAAGGUCAACUGAUACUGCGGGGCUAGAGUGCGGAAGGGGCAACUGGAAUUCUUGGUGUAGCGGUGAAAUGCGUAGAUAACAAGAGGAACACCUGCGGCGAAGGCGGGUUGCUGGGCCGACACUGACGCUGAGGCGCGAAAGCUAGGGGAGCGAACGGG
rnacentral:rRNA from 1 species